CAACCUCAACUCAUAUGGGACUACCCCCUGAAUUUAAGCAUAUUAAUUAGGGAGGAAAGAAACUAACAAGGAUUUUCUUAGUAGCGGCGAGCGAAAAGAAAACAGUUCAGCACUAAGUCACUUUGUCUAUAUGGCAAAUGUGAGAUGCAGUGUAUGGAGCGUCAAUAUUCUAGUAUGAGAAAUUAAUGAUUUAAGUCCUUCUUAAAUGAGGCCAUUUACCCAUAGAGGGUGCCAGGCCCGUAUAACGUUAAUGAUUACUAGAUGAUGUUCCAAAGAGUCGUGUUGCUUGAUAGUGCAGCACUAAGUGGGUGGUAAACUCCAUCUAAAACUAAAUAUAACCAUGAGACCGAUAGUAAACAAGUACCGUGAGGGAAAGUUGAAAAGAACUCUGAAUAGAGAGUUAAACAGUACGUGAAACUGCUUAGAGGUUAAGCCCGAUGAACCUGAAUAUCCGUUAUGGAAAAUUCAUCAUUAAAAUUGUAAUAUUUAAAUAAUAUUAUUAAGAAUAAUGUGCAUUUUUUCCAUAUAAGGACAUUGUAAUCUAUUAGCAUAUCCCAAAUUUAUCAUAAAAUAUAACUUAUAGUUUAUUCCAAUUAAAUUGCUUGCAUUUUACAGAAUAAAUUUAUUAAUUUGAUAAAGUGCUGAUAGAUUUAUAUUAUUACAGAGCGUUAAUUUUUCGGAAUUAUAUAAUGGCAUAAUUAUCAUUGAUUUUUGUGUUUAUUAUAUGCUCUUGUAUGAUUAACAAUGCGAAGAUUCAGGAUACCUUCGGGACCCGUCUUGAAACACGGACCAAGGAGUCUAACAUAUGUGCAAGUUAUUGGGAUGUAAACCUAAUAGCGUAAUUAACUUGACUAAUAAUGGGAUUAGUUUUUUAGCUAUUUAUAGCUAAUUAACACAAUCCCGGGGCGUUCUAUAUAGUUAUGUAUAAUGUAUAUUUAUAUUAUUUAUGCCUCUAACUGGAACGUACCUUGAGCAUAUAUGCUGUGACCCGAAAGAUGGUGAACUAUACUUGAUCAGGUUGAAGUCAGGGGAAACCCUGAUGGAAGACCGAAAACAGUUCUGACGUGCAAAUCGAUUGUCAGAAUUGAGUAUAGGGGCGAAAGACCAAUCGAACCAUCUAGUAGCUGGUUCCUUCCGAAGUUUCCCUCAGGAUAGCUGGUGCAUUUAAUAUUAUAUAAAAUAAUCUUAUCUGGUAAAGCGAAUGAUUAGGGCCUUAGGGUCGAAACGAUCUUAACCUAUUCUCAAACUUUAAAUGGGUAAGAACCUUAACUUUCUUGAUAUGAAGUUCAAGGUUAUGAUAUAAUGUGCCCAGUGGGCCACUUUUGGUAAGCAGAACUGGCGCUGUGGGAUGAACCAAACGUAAUGUUACGGUGCCCAAAUUAACAACUCAUGCAGAUACCAUGAAAGGCGUUGGUUGCUUAAAACAGCAGGACGGUGAUCAUGGAAGUCGAAAUCCGCUAAGGAGUGUGUAACAACUCACCUGCCGAAGCAACUAGCCCUUAAAAUGGAUGGCGCUUAAGUUGUAUACCUAUACAUUACGCUAAAGUAGAUGAUUUAUAUUACUUGUGAUAUAAAUUUUUGAAACUUUAGUGAGUAGGAAGGUACAAUGGUAUGCGUAGAAGUGUUUGGCGUAAGCCUGCAUGGAGCUGCCAUUGGUACAGAUCUUGGUGGUAGUAGCAAAUAAUCGAAUGAGACCUUGGAGGACUGAAGUGGAGAAGGUUUCGUGUGAACAGUGGUUGAUCACGAGUUAGUCGGUAAGUUCAAGGCGAAAGCCGAAAAUUUUCAAGAAAACAAAAAUGCCUAACUAUAUAAAAAGCGAAUAUAAUACACUUGAAUAAUUUUGAAAAAAGGGAACGGUUCCAAUUCCGUAACCUGUUGAGUAUCCGUUUGUUAUUAAAUAUGGGCCUCGUGCUCAUCCUGCAACAGGAACGACCAUAAAGAAGCCGUCGAGAGAUAUCGGAAGAGUUUUCUUUUCUGUUUUAUAGCCGUACUACCAUGGAAGUCUUUCGCAGAGAGAUAUGGUAGAUGGGCUAGAAGAGCAUGACAUAUACUGUUGUGUCGAUAUUUUCUCCUCGACCUUGAAAAUUUAUGGUGGGGACACGCAACUUCUCAACAGGCCGUACAAUAUCCAGCUGGUCUCCAAGGUGAAGAGUCUCUAGUCGAUAGAAUAAUGUAGGUAAGGGAAGUCGGCAAAUUAGAUCCGUAACUUCGGGAUAAGGAUUGGCUCUGAAGAUUGAGAUAGUCGGGCUUGAUUGGGAAACAAUAACAUGGUUUAUGUGCUCGUUCUGGGUAAAUAGAGUUUCUAGCAUUUAUGUUAGUUACUUGUUCCCCGGAUAGUUUAGUUACGUAGCCAAUUGUGGAACUUUCUUGCUAAAAUUUUUAAGAAUACUAUUUGGGUUAAACCAAUUACUUAUCAAUUAUAACGAUUAUCAAUUAACAAUCAAUUCAGAACUGGCACGGACUUGGGGAAUCCGACUGUCUAAUUAAAACAAAGCAUUGU